UACGGAGGGCGCAAGCGUUGCUCGGAAUCACUGGGCGUAAAGCGAACGCAGGCGGUCUGUUAAGUCGGGUGUGAAAUCCCGGGGCUCAACCCCGGAACUGCAUUCGAAACUGGCAGCCUUGAGUACGGGAGAGGGAAGCGGAAUUCCUGGUGUAGAGGUGAAAUUCGUAGAUAUCAGGAGGAACAUCAGUGGCGAAAGCGGCUUCCUGGCCCGAUACUGACGCUCAUGUUCGAAAGCGUGGGGAGCAAACAGG
rnacentral:rRNA from 1 species